AAGCCUUUAGGUUGACGUUGAUGAAAGUGCAGUAUCUGUUCUUACCAGCUUAAUAUUGAUACGAAUUGUAUUUGGACCUAAGAUAUUACACUCAUUUUUUGCAAGUCAGCGGAGUGCUUAAAGCGUGCUUCACCUCCGCCGCGUGUCGGCCCGGUAUUGCACUAUCUUCGAUAUCGGCCCAAGUAUG